GACGAACGCUGGCGGCGUGCUUAACACAUGCAAGUCGAACGGAAAGGCCCUGCUUUUGUGGGGUGCUCGAGUGGCGAACGGGUGAGUAACACGUGAGUAACCUGCCCUUGACUUUGGGAUAACUUCAGGAAACUGGGGCUAAUACCGGAUAGGAGCUCCUGCUGCAUGGUGGGGGUUGGAAAGUCUCGGCGGUUGGGGAUGGACUCGCGGCUUAUCAGCUUGUUGGUGGGGUAGUGGCUUACCAAGGCUUUGACGGGUAGCCGGCCUGAGAGGGUGACCGGCCACAUUGGGACUGAGAUACGGCCCAGACUCCUACGGGAGGCAGCAGUGGGGAAUAUUGCACAAUGGGCGGAAGCCUGAUGCAGCAACGCCGCGUGCGGGAUGACGGCCUUCGGGUUGUAAACCGCUUUCGCCUGUGACGAAGCGUGAGUGACGGUAAUGGGUAAAGAAGCACCGGCUAACUACGUGCCAGCAGCCGCGGUGAUACGUAGGGUGCGAGCGUUGUCCGGAUUUAUUGGGCGUAAAGGGCUCGUAGGUGGUUGAUCGCGUCGGAAGUGUAAUCUUGGGGCUUAACCCUGAGCGUGCUUUCGAUACGGGUUGACUUGAGGAAGGUAGGGGAGAAUGGAAUUCCUGGUGGAGCGGUGGAAUGCGCAGAUAUCAGGAGGAACACCAGUGGCGAAGGGCGGUUCUCUGGGCCUUUCCUGACGCUGAGGAGCGAAAGCGUGGGGAGCGAACAGGCUUAGAUACCCUGGUAGUCCACGCUGUAAACGGUGGGUACUAGGUGUGGGGUCCAUUCCACGGGUUCCGUGCCGUAGCUAACGCUUUAAGUACCCCGCCUGGGGAGUACGGCCGCAAGGCUAAAACUCAAAGGAAUUGACGGGGCCCCGCACAAGCGGCGGAGCAUGCGGAUUAAUUCGAUGCAACGCGUAGAACCUUACCUGGGUUUGACAUGGAUCGGGAGUGCUCAGAGAUGGGUGUGCCUCUUUUGGGGUCGGUUCACAGGUGGUGCAUGCCUGUCGUCAGCUCGUGUCGUGAGAUGUUGGGUUAAGUCCCGCAACGAGCGCAACCCUUGUUCACUGUUGCCAGCACGUUAUGGUGGGGACUCAGUGGAGACCGCCGGGGUCAACUCGGAGGAAGGUGGGGAUGACGUCAAGUCCUCAUGCCCCUUAUGUCCAGGGCUUCACGCAUGCUACAAUGGCUGGUACAGAGAGUGGCGAGCCUGUGAGGGUGAGCGAAUCUCGGAAAGCCGGUCUCAGUUCGGAUUGGGGUCUGCAACCCGACCUCAUGAAGUCGGAGUCGCUAGUAAUCGCAGAUCAGCAACGCUGCGGUGAAUACGUUCCCGGG
rnacentral:rRNA from 1 species